rnacentral:rRNA from 1 species
UACAGAGGGGGCAAGCGUUAUUCGGAAUUAUUGGGCGUAAAGGGCGCGUAGGCGGCCUUUCAAGUGGGAGGUGAAAUCCCUCGGCUUAACCGAGGAACUGCCCUCCAAACUGCUUGGCUUGAGUCCGGGAGAGGUGAGUGGAAUUCCCAGUGUAGCGGUGAAAUGCGUAGAUAUUGGGAGGAACACCAGUGGCGAAGGCGGCUCACUGGACCGGAACUGACGCUGAGGCGCGAAAGCGUGGGGAGCAAACAGG